AACGAACGCUGGCGGCAGGCUUAACACAUGCAAGUCGAGCGCCCCGCAAGGGGAGCGGCAGACGGGUGAGUAACACGUGGGGAUCUGCCCAAUGGUACGGAAUAGCUCCGGGAAACUGGAAAUAAUACCGUAUGUGCCCGCAAGGGGAAAGAUUUAUCGCCAUUGGAUGAACCCGCGUCGGAUUAGCUAGUUGGUGUGGUAAAGGCGCACCAAGGCGACGAACCGUAGCUGGUCUGAGAGGAUGAUCAGCAACACUGGGACUGAGACACGGCCCAGACUCCUACGGGAGGCAGCAGUGGGGAAUAUUGGACAAUGGGCGCAAGCCUGAUCCAGCCAUGCCGCGUGAGUGAUGAAGGUCUUAGGAUUGUAAAGCUCUUUCACCGGUGAAGAUAAUGACGGUAACCGGAGAAGAAGCCCCGGCUAACUUCGUGCCAGCAGCCGCGGUAACAC
rnacentral:rRNA from 1 species